GAUGAACGCUGGCGGCGUGCUUAACACAUGCAAGUCGAACGAAGCACUUAUCUUUGAUUCUUCGGAUGAAGAGGUUUGUGACUGAGUGGCGGACGGGUGAGUAACGCGUGGGUAACCUGCCUCAUACAGGGGGAUAACAGUUAGAAAUGACUGCUAAUACCGCAUAAGACCACGGAGCCGCAUGGCUCAGUGGGAAAAACUCCGGUGGUAUGAGAUGGACCCGCGUCUGAUUAGGUAGUUGGUGGGGUAACGGCCUACCAAGCCAACGAUCAGUAGCCGACCUGAGAGGGUGACCGGCCACAUUGGGACUGAGACACGGCCCAAACUCCUACGGGAGGCAGCAGUGGGGAAUAUUGCACAAUGGGGGAAACCCUGAUGCAGCGACGCCGCGUGAGCGAAGAAGUAUUUCGGUAUGUAAAGCUCUAUCAGCAGGGAAGAAAAUGACGGUACCUGACUAAGAAGCACCGGCUAAAUACGUGCCAGCAGCCGCGGUAAUACGUAUGGUGCAAGCGUUAUCCGGAUUUACUGGGUGUAAAGGGAGCGUAGACGGCUGUGUAAGUCUGAAGUGAAAGCCCGGGGCUCAACCCCGGGACUGCUUUGGAAACUAUGCAGCUAGAGUGUCGGAGAGGUAAGUGGAAUUCCCAGUGUAGCGGUGAAAUGCGUAGAUAUUGGGAGGAACACCAGUGGCGAAGGCGGCUUACUGGACGAUGACUGACGUUGAGGCUCGAAAGCGUGGGGAGCAAACAGGAUUAGAUACCCUGGUAGUCCACGCCGUAAACGAUGACUACUAGGUGUCGGGGAGCAAAGCUCUUCGGUGCCGCAGCAAACGCAAUAAGUA
rnacentral:rRNA from 1 species